rnacentral:rRNA from 1 species
UCCCCUGGGCNCGAACCUCCCACCCAUUGCUUAUUCUACCUUUGUUGCUUUGGCGGACCUGUGGGGUCUUCCACCGCUGGUUCCGGCUAGCGAGUGUUCGCCAGAGAACCCUAAAACUCUUUGUAAUUAGUGACGUCUGAGUAACUAAGUAAUCAAAUAAAACUUUCAACAACGGAUCUCUUGGUUCUGGCAUCGAUGAAGAACGCAGCGAAAUGCGAUAAGUAAUGUGAAUUGCAGAAUUCAGUGAAUCAUCGAAUCUUUGAACGCACAUUGCGCCCUCUGGUAUUCCGGGGGGCAUGCCUGUUCGAACGUCAUUAGCCCACUCAAGCUUAGCUUGGUAUUGGAUAUCGCCUCCUGGGGCGGAUCUCAAAAUCAGCGGCGGAGCACCUGAUCUUCAAGCGUAGUACAUUUUAUCCCGCUUCGAUAGAUUCAGGUGAUUCCAGCCGGACAACCCCCCAAUUUUUAAGGAUUGACCUCGGAUCAGGUAGGGAUACCCGCUGAACUUAAGCAUAUCAAUA